GCCAUGCCGCGUGGAGGAUGAAGGUCCUCUGGAUUGUAAACUUCUUUUAUCUGGGAMGAAACACUUCUUUUCUUAGAGGCCUGACGGUACCAGAUGAAUAAGCACCGGCUAACUCCGUGCCAGCAGCCGCGGUAAUACGGAGGGUGCAAGCGUUAUCCGGAUUCACUGGGUUUAAAGGGUGCGUAGGUGGGUAUGUAAGUCAGAGGUGAAAUCCCCGAGCUUAACUUGGGAACUGCCKUUGAUACUAUAUAUCUUGAAUGUCGUAGAGGUAAGCGGAAUAUGUCAUGUAGCGGUGAAAUGCUUAGAUAUGACAUAGAACACCAAUUGCGAAGGCAGCUUACUAUGCGAUUAUUGACACUGAGGCACGAAAGCGUGGGUAGCAAACAGGAUUAGAUACCCUGGUAGUCCACGCCCUAAACUAUGGAUACUCGACAUACGCGAUACACUGUGUGUGUCUGAGCGAAAGCAUUAAGUAUCCCAC
rnacentral:rRNA from 1 species